AUUGAACGCUGGCGGCAGGCCUAACACAUGCAAGUCGAACGGCAGCACAGAAGAGCUUGCUCUUUGGGUGGCGAGUGGCGGACGGGUGAGUAAUGUCUGGGAAACUGCCCGAUGGAGGGGGAUAACUACUGGAAACGGUAGCUAAUACCGCAUAACGUCGCAAGACCAAAGUGGGGGACCUUCGGGCCUCACACCAUCGGAUGUGCCCAGAUGGGAUUAGCUAGUAGGUGGGGUAAUGGCUCACCUAGGCGACGAUCCCUAGCUGGUCUGAGAGGAUGACCAGCCACACUGGAACUGAGACACGGUCCAGACUCCUACGGGAGGCAGCAGUGGGGAAUAUUGCACAAUGGGCGCAAGCCUGAUGCAGCCAUGCCGCGUGUAUGAAGAAGGCCUUCGGGUUGUAAAGUACUUUCAGCGGGGAGGAAGGCGGUGAGGUUAAUAACCUUGCCGAUUGACGUUACCCGCAGAAGAAGCACCGGCUAACUCCGUGCCAGCAGCCGCAGUAA
rnacentral:rRNA from 1 species